GUAGUUAGGAUUUAAAGCCUAACUAGCUAUAUGCACGUAGUCGUAACUGAAAGGUUGAUCGACCACAGUGGGCCUGAAGAAAGCCCAUGACGAUUGUCACAGCAGUGAGGAAUAUUGGUCAAUAGCCUAACGGCUGAACCAGCAACUUGGAGGAAUGUAUAGCAAUAGCUACUUGCAUCAUUGUAAUAUGAUGCAAGAUCGACUACGUCGAAUAAAAUUCUAGGUAGAAUUAUGAUAAUGACAUUGUCUGCCUAUGUGUCUUGACCAAAUUACGUGCCAGCAGUCGCGGUAAUACGUAGAAGACUAGUGUUAUUCAUGUUUAAUCGGUUUAAAGGGUACCUAGACGGUAAAUCAAGCCUAAAAGGAAAUAAAUGAAGGGACUAAUUUACUAGAGUUACUUAUGAGGGGGUAUUAAAGUACUGCUGGUGUAGAGAUGAAAUCUGUCAUACCUCUUUUCAAUAGAAAAAUAAUGGCACAGGUAUAGGCGAAAGCAUCCCCUUAUGUGAUAACUGACGUUGAGGGACGAAGGCUUUGUGUAGCGAACAGGAUUAGAUACCCCAGUAGUCAAAGCAGAAAAUGAUGAAUGUCAUAGAUUAGAUAUAUAAGUUUAUUCUAUAAAUGAAAGUGUAAGCAUUCCACCUCAAGAGUAAUUUGGCAACAUUGGAACUGAAAUCAUUAGACCGUUUCUGAAACCGUAGUGAAGUAUGUUGUUUAAUUUGAUGAUCCGCAAAAAACCUUACCACAAUUUGAAUAUUUAUAUCUUUUAUUG
rnacentral:rRNA from 1 species